rnacentral:rRNA from 1 species
GGCGAACGGCUGCCGCUGGAUUCGAGCUGAUAACUCGCGGUGCAUCUAGAUAAAAGGUUUGAUCCGGGAGAGGCUACUGCUGUUGGGGUUCGAUUAAGCCUUGCAACUGGCACGAUUCUUCGGAAUCGUGGCGAACGGCUCAUUUCCACGUGGAUAACCUACCCUUAGGACCGGUAUAACCCUGGGAAACUGUGGACCAUCCCGGAUAGGUGAUUUUUUUUUUUUUUGAUUUUUCCUUUAAAUGCUCUGGCGCCUGAGGAUGGGUCUGCGGCAUAUCAGGUAGUUGGUUUGCCCACCCCCCCUUCAAGCCGGUGAUCUCUACGGGUUGCGAUUUCACCAGCCCGGAAAUGGAACCCGCUACCACGUUCCGGGCAUUACGUGGCGCUCAUGCGCCAAAUUUCCUCAAUGAGAGAAUCGCCACUGGGGGACCCCACCUGCCCCUCUUAAGGGGCUGCCUUUUUUAAGAGUAAAACUCUUUCCGAAUAAGGACUGGGUAACUCCGCGGCCCGCCGCAGCGCAAACACCUGUAACUCUCGUCGAAGCUAUUUUUUAUUGAUUCCAAAGCAUUCUAAACGGUUUGUCAAACCCUUGGAGAACUACUGAAGUGACUGAGGCAAUCGCUGGAAAUCCCUAGCUCGAGUCGGACAUGUAGCGCUACUCCUCGGAUAGGGUGAUCUGGUACCCGGAGUCACGUGAUGCGGAGUCCCUCACGGAUCCACUCAUGGAGAUAUUACACACUCGUGGCCCCCACGGGUGUAAC